rnacentral:lncRNA from 1 species
UUAAGGAUUAAGUUAUGAAUUUGUAAUUUAUGUAGUUGAAUGACAUUAAUAGAUUGAUAUAAUACGACAAUGUUUAAAAGCACAGGAGUAAAAUAAUAAAGUAGUAUAGUUUGAUUAAUUGACAGUUACACUGUAUUAAAAGUUUUGUCCCCCUGUUUAAAUGUAUGAAUUAUUUAAAGUCUGGCCCUAGUAAGUUUGGUGGGAAUUGUGAGUUAGUUUAAGGGUGUGGCAUGCCAUAUAUAUCUUGCAGUACUGCACUACAGUUACACUGACUCUUGGGAUACAAUGAGGUAUCCUACAGUUAUAGAAUCGGCUUUUGAGCCAUACAGUUAUUUGGUACUUUGUGCCCUACAGUUACCGUUUCCUUAUCUAACUUAACAGUCCCAUUGAAAUUUAUAGGGGCCAACCGAAACAUAACAAAGAAAUAAAAGUAUUAUGAGUAUGAAAUGAAAAUACGUAUAUAUGUGAAAUAAGAGUAUGCUUUGGAUUUAUAUCAAAUUAUUUGUUAUAUAGCUUAUUGUCAUUUGUUUGGAUUACUGUUAUUCCAUGAAUUUUGAUUUAAAUAUUUAUUUAUAAAAAAAAAACAAUUUGAGCACCACUAAUCACAUUGCUUAGCGCGUAUGAAUUUAUUUUUCCUCGCGCAGGUUGUGGAUCCAGGCAGCAGCAGAUCAAGAUCUGCAUCAACCCAGUUAGAGUUACAUCAUUAACUACAUUGGGGUUUAAUUUGUAAAGUUUAUAUACAGUUACUUUUGGAAAUCAUGGCAUGUACAUAAAGUUCUAGAGAUAAAAUUGAAUAUGGUUUGAAAUGGAUAUAGUUAAAUAUUUUAUUUUAAUUUUGGUGUAAAUGUGGAUGAUUAGUAUAAGUUGUUGUGUUGAGAUUAAUGAAAUGUUAUGAAGUGUUUUGAUCAUUGAAAUUGUGUUGAUGUUGAAAGAAGUUUGGGGGUUAAGGUUGAAAUUAAUAGAAGUGUGAUAUUACUUUUCACAGGUGGAAUUAAGUCCAUAUUUUAGGGGAAACUCUGCCGGAUUUUUGGUUUAAAAAAAAAAAACCAAGAUGUACAUGAUAGAAAGGAAAAAUAAGCGAAUUGUUACAGGAUGUAAUGUCUCCGGCUCACUUAAUCAAAUAACCGGGUAGGGGGUGUUACAAAAAUUUUCCACGUUGAAAUAUGCUAAAAAUCCCUAGAAAUUGCCAAAAAUCCAUUCUUCCCAAAAAUUGGCCCGUCGGUGGGACAGCUAUUGCGUUGGGAGGCCUACCAUACGGGCCUGAACGCAUGCUUGGCAACCAAAUGAGGUUUAGCGCCUCUUCUGUAUGCCUACUAGCUUGCCCCAACACCCUCCACCACGUGCAAGCAUCUCCUGUGCGCCUCGCGACCCAAAUGCCAAAAGAGGUUUGUCUGGUUCUCUUUGUAAGCCCGUCGCGCUCCAGCGCCUGCCUGUAUGCUAGCCAGCCCCUUCUGUCGCAGAUGCUACAAUCGGUUCUCGAUUUUGGCAAAAUUACUUCCCUCACAAAAAUUGCCUAAUCGAGCAUCCUAACUACCACCAGUGCCCAUUUUCAGCAGAAUUGCUUGUCUUGCAAUUUUGGCCAGCGCAAUACUCCAAAUGCUAAUUGUUUUCAACAACUAGCUUGCCCUUCCCAUUUUUGGCCCGAUCAAGGUUAACUUAAAAAAUGGCCUCUUUUUACCUUGCGGGAGCUCAAAAUCAGGGGGUAACACAUUGCUCAACCAACAGGCUUAUGGCACAACACUAUCACUUGCAUUGUUCAGCUAACGGACCUGUGGCACGAGUUGUCGUGCUCAUGCAACAUGCCCAAAGCUCCCUACUGCCGCCUCAAGUGCUUGCUACACCCACAGGCCCUCGCAACCCAAAGUCCUAUGUCCCCACCUAGUCCUUAAGGCAAUAAGUGUGUCGUUUCCUGCCUCACGCUUCAAGUCUCCCUUCCUUCACUUUGAUAGAUGAAAAACAUUAUGUUGCUUUCCAUAUGUCCAAUAAUUUUUUCACAAUUAAAAUUACAAGAAAAUCUAUGAAAAUACCCCAAAAUUACAAGUCUCCCCAUAAGUGGCCUAUUCAAAUUUUCCACGUUGAAAUCUGCCGAAAAUCCCAAGAAAUUGCCAAAAAUCCACUUUUCCCAAAAAUUGGCCCAUCGUUGGGCACAUCAAUUGUGAUGGGAGACCUAAUACGUGGGCUUGCACACACGCCAGGCAGCCAAACGAGUUUCAACGCCUCUUCUGUAGGCCUACUAGCAUGCCCCAAGGCUCCCCCAUUGUGCCCUAGUGCGCCUGCGCAUCCCCUGUGCGCCCUGCAGCUUAACCACGAAUUAAGGUUCAUUUAGGCCUUUCUAUAGGCCUAUCGCGUCUCAAUGCUUGCUUGCGCAUGAGCCGACCACUUCCAUAAAAAAUGCUACCACUGGUGCCUAAUUUCGAUAAAAUUAAAAACUGAAAUUUAAUUUAUAUUUAAAAUUAAUUUAAAUUGAAUUAAAUAAAUAAUCAAAUCAAAUUCAAUUGAAAUAAAUGAAUAUAAUUCAGUCUAAAAUCAAUUAUUCACUUCUUCUUCCUCAAUCUGUGUUUCCAAUCUAUUUGUGUUCUCUUUUGUGAUUAGAGUCACUCCAUCAAAUAAAUUUCAGAACUAAAUUUAUUCUCAAUAUUAACUCAAUCAUAAUCUCAACCAUCCAUACCUAUAAUAAACAAAAGCAAGGUACAGUUAAAAAAAAAUAGUAUAUUACAAAGGAUUUGACAUUUUAAAACGACGAUGGUGUGGAUGCGACAAUGUUAGAAUGUCACGCUGCAACGCAUCACGCAGGAGAUGGGGCUGUGGGAGCUCGAGUGAGGGGUUGCAAUGCAAGAGAGUGGGGUUGUAGUACUGAAAAGGGGGGCUGCAUGGCAGCAAUAUAGGAGAGUGAUUUUCUACGUUGCUACGAGAUGGAGGUUAGAUGCUGAGGUGAUGGAGAGCGGGGCUGCGACAAUGGGUUGCGGGGCUGCGAUGAUGGGGAGUGGGAUUGUAGCGCUAGAUCUGCUGUUGCUGCACACUAGAGAUGAGGUGUUGCCAUAAAUGGUGGUAGUUGAGGAGAAAGAGAUGGAAUGAAGACAAGAAAGAAAUAGCGACUAGGUUUUUUAUUUUAAGAAUGAAUAUGUACAUAGAUUUGAUGGUUGAGAUUCAUUAAAGAUGGAUAGUUAGGAUUAAAAGCCAAUAAAAAAAAAAAAGAAAAGAAAAGGGUGCACAAUUUGUGAAUGCAAUAGAAUUGAAACCUAAACCUCUGACUCCUAAUCUAAGGAGUUCACCACUAAGUUAAAAGGAGACAAAAUACUCUUAAAUAUUUUAAAUAUAUGUAUACGACUCGGUUUAGUUAUAUCGAAAUUUUCCUCUCCAAAAUCGAAUCAAACUAAUUAAAUCAAAAAAUUUUGAAAAUUAAAAUCGAAUCAAACCAAUUUAUCAUAAAAACUAAAGGGUAAUUUAUGAUUUAGUCCCUGGGUAUUACCAUUAUUAACAAGUCAGUCCCUGUAUUUUUAGAAACCUAUUAAAACGUUCUUAUGUUUUAUUUCCGUCAACGAAAUAGUCCUUCUGUCCUAUUUUCCGUUAAAAUUAGAUAAAGGAGGAGAGAGAAAAUUUUUAAAAUCCAAUUUUACCCUCAAAUAAAACCAUUUAUUUAGUCCUUGUAUAUUACAAUUAUUAACAAGUUAGUCCUUAUAUUUUCAAAAAUCUAUUAAAAUAUUUUUAUCUUUUUUUAUAUCUAUUAAAACGUCCUUAUCAUUUUUUUAUGUCAACUAAAUAGUCCCUAUCUUUUCUCAGAUCUAUUAAAACGCCCUUAUCGUUUCUUUUUGUCAACGAAAUAGUCCAUGUCUUUUCUUUCGUCCUCCUCCUCCUCCUCCUCCUCCGAAAAAGAAGAAAAAGAGAAAGAAGAAGAAGAAGAAGAAGAAGAAGGAGAAGAAGAAGAAGAAGGAGGAGGAGGAGAAGAAGAAGAAGGAGGAGGAGGAGAAGAAGAAGAAGAAGAAGAAGAAGAAGAAGAAGAGAAAGAAGAAAAAGAAGAAGAAGAAGAAGAAGAAGAAGAAGAAGAAGAAGAGAAAGAAGAAAAAGAAGAAGAAGAAGAAUGAGAAGAAGAAGAAGAAGAGAAAGAAGAAAAAGAAGCAAAAGAAGAAGAAGGAGAAGAAGGAGAAGAAGAAGGAGAAGAAGGAGAAGAAGCAGAAGAAGAAGAAGAAGAAGAAGAAGAAGAAGAAGAAGAAGAAGAAGCAGAAGAAGAAUUGAUGAAGAAGAAAAGGAAGGAGGAGGAGAAGGAGAAAAAUAAUGGGGGGUAAUAUAGUCUUUUACUAUAUUUUUAAUGGCAAAAAUAGACAGAAGGACUAUUUCGUUGACGGAGAGAAAAUAUAAGGAUAUUUUAAUAGGUUUCUAAAAAUACAGGGACUGACUUGUUAAUAAUGGUAAUACCCAAGGACUAAAUCGUAAAUUACCCAAAACUAAACUAAAUUACUAAAUUAAAUCAGUUUGGUCAAUUUUUUCGCUCUAAAUCAAAUAGUGCUCACCCUUACUAGGCGCUAUAAUAUCAUAUGUACAGCUUUAGCUCAACGCUUACCAGAAAUGGGCUUGACUGAACCUCACCUACUUUAGUGUUAGGCCUACCGCGAAUCUACUUAGUAUUGCGCCCAGAAUUGGCACUAUUGAACCUCAUUUUGCCACCAGCACCCUAGCUACGAAAUUGGCAACCAAUCUAUCCUCAUUUCGUGCUUAACCCCCAACGAUGUUAGUGCGAUUUCCUCUUCACCCCACAAGUGCCACCACUAGUUGAACCUCAUCUGCUUCAAUGGUAGACCUACUGCGGAUCUACCUAGUGGCGUUGUUGAACCUCAUCUCCUUUAGUGGUAGGCCUAUCAUGGAUCUGCCUAGUGCUGCGCCUAGAAUUGGCCCAAUUGAACCUCAUUUUGCCAAUAGCAGCCUACCAUCGCCCCAGCUAUGAAAAUUAGCAACUAACCUAACCUCAUUUUUUGCUGAAACCCCAACGAUGCUAGUGCAAUUUCCUCUUCUCCCCACAAGUUCCACCACCAUUUGAACCUCAUUUGGGUAGCAACUUGCGAUGAAAAAUUGGAUUCUAUAGGAGGCAAUAUUUGUGGAGUUACACCCAGCACGCCCCACAGCCCAACUAACAAAUAAGGUUCAUAUGGGCUUCUCCUUAGGCCUGCCACGCCCAAGCGCUUGUCUGCCGCCAGCUAGCCCCUUCUGCCGUAGAUGCUAUCACCUGUACCCAAUUUUGACAGACUUGUUUCCCCUUGCAAAAACUGCCUACUCGAGCACCCUUGAUACCACUAGUGCCGCUUUUGGAAAAAUUGCUUCUCUUGCAAUUUUGGUCAACCCAACGCUCCAAAUGCUAAUUGUUUUCAACAAUUGGCCCGCAUUUCCUUUUUUUUGCCCGAUCAAGGUUAACUUAAAAAAUGACCUCUUUUUUAUUGCAAGACUCAAAAUUAAAGGGUAACAUAUUGCUUAACCAACGGGCUUAUGGCGCAACGUUGUUGCUCGCAUUACUUAGCCAAUGGACCCAUGGCACAAGCUGUCACGCUUAUGCAACAUACAAGAAGUGCCUUACUGCUGCCCUGAGCGCAUGUUGCUCCCAUGGGCCAUGUGAGCCAGUUUGAAGUGUAAUUCUCACCGUGCGAAGAGCUGAAUCAUUUGCAGACAACUUAAAUACGAAAUGGGGUAUUGUAAGUGGCAAAGUGGCCUUGCUGCCACGAUCCACUAAGAUUUAGUCCUUUGUCGCUCCAGUUCAUCCUUCUCCCCUCAUUCCCUCCAACUUCCCACCGUGCGGCCUCGAGAUUACCCCCUUUCAUGAUUGCAUUCUCUAAGGCCUCAGAGUUCAUAAGUCCCUGCUGCUUGGUGCAUCACGUAGAGUCCUAAAGUCCCAAAUACUCACCUAGUCCUUAGGCAAACAGUGGCUUGUUUACCACCCCUAGCUUCAAGUCUCCCUUCCUUCACUUUGAUAGAUGGAGAACUUUGUGUUGCUUUCCAUGUGGCUAAUAAUUUUUCCACAAUUAAAAUUACAAGAAAUCCAUAAAACAUACACCAAAAUUAAAAAGCGUCCCCAUAAGUGGCCCAAUUAAAAUCUUCAACAUUGAAAUCUGCUAAAAAGAAAUACUAAGAAACUGCCAAAAAUCCAUUAUUCCUGAAAAUUGGCCCAUCGAUGGGCACAAUGCAUUGAGAGGCCUGCCACGCAGGCUUGCACACAUGCCUGGCAGCCAAACGAGGUUUAGCGCCUCGUCCGUAGGCCUACAAGAGCACCCCAGCCUACCCUGCAGCCCUAAUGCCAAAUGAGGCUUGUAUGGGCCUGUCCACAGGCUUGCCGUGCCAUUGCAGCUGCUUGCAUGCUAGCUAGCCCCUUCUGCCGUAGAUGUUACCACCGAUACCCGAAUUCGACAGAAUUGUUUCCCUCGUAAAAAUUGCCCAAUUGAGCAUUGUGCUACCACCGGUGCCCUUUUUGGCAGAAUUGCUUCUCUUGCAAUUUUGACAAAUCAAUACUCCAAAUGCUAAUUGUUUUCAACAAUUCGCCCGCCCUUCUGUUUUUGGCCUGAUCAAGGUUAACUUAAAAAAUGGCCUCUUUUUGACUUGCGGGAGCUUAAUAUCAAAGAGUAACAUAUUGCUCAACCAACGGCUUAUGGCGCAAUGCUGUCACUCGCAUUGCUCAGCCAACAGACUAGGUGCACUAGGUACCUUUACAGUAGAAGAUCUACUAGCAGCUAAAGAUAUUUUUGCUGCACCAUGUGCCUUUUGCUGCUUUAGAUGCUAAUUGAUGGGAUCUAUUUCAUGUAUGUACAUUUACAACCCAAAAAAAUCAUCAAGAAGUAAAAAGAUAAUCUGCAACAACAAUUUGUGUGCACAUUAUAACUGUUGCCUUGGAAUAUUCAGCAGUUGCCCUUACAUGGUCUCGUAUGUCUCAGCUCGUACUCGUACUUUUGGAAUUUUGGUAGAGGAUGUUUUGCAUUUAACAACCGAAGAUUCCAGAAUCUGCUUUUAUACAUUAAAUUAUUCAAAUAAUUUAAUUAUGACUAUCUCUUAACCAGCAGUGCAAAGGCAUCGGGCAAUAAUAUUGGAAUGUAUUAAAGUUGUCUAGUUUUACCAAUCAUUACCUUCAUAGUUAUUACUUAUAAGGAAAAAUAAAAAAUCCUAAAACAGUAGAUGUUUUUGUUAUAAAUAUAUGUGUUUCACUAACACCAAAGGGGAAAUGAUUUAAAAUGAUGAACAUGAAGUCAAAUGCUUGAACAAAAAUCAUCUCUCAAAAAAUUUUAAAGGAUUGAUGUUUGAAUUCUUCAAAAGUGCUCGGAACUUUUAGACAAAAUAAAGAGAUCAAGAUGUUUAGAUGAGGUGACGAGGUCUGACAACCAUUUUGAUGGGGUGAUUUGCUGAAGAGCUGACCUGUAAAGAGGAAGGGCUGACUUGUUGAGCUGACCAAAGCAGGCAUGAUGAAAGAAGGCUGAAGUGUCCGGAUGCUCCCAGGGCUUACUGCCAAAAGUUGCUUCAUUGUUCAAAAGUAAGUUGUACCCUUCAUCAUUUAUAAAUUGUGGUUCUCCCAAGUUAUUGUUAUUAAUAUUUGUUUGGGGGAGUGUAACCCAACAUUGGUUCCACUUUUUUUCUUUUAACAAACAAUAUUUUCUAAACAUACGGAGUAACCCAAUAUUUGUUCCAUCUUUUUUUCUUUUAACAAACAUUAUUUAAAACCAAAUUCUUGUAGUAUUUAGUCUCGUCUAUUUCAUAGGAAAUAUUUUUCAAGAAAAUAUUUUUUUUAUAUUUUUUUGACAUUUAAGACAUUAAAAAAAAUUUAGUCAAUGAAAAAUAUUAUUUUGAAAUUUUUAGAAAUAGUAAACCAUUUUAAGAAAAAUGACUUUCUGUUUUGGAAAGAGCAAGUAAUUUUCUAUAUUUUGAUAUUUUUAUUAAGACCACUUCCAUAUAUAAAUUUGUUAAUAAAUUUUAUUUUUUAAAUUAAAAUUAAAUAAUGAAAAAUAAAUUAUUUUAUUAAAAAGUAAUGAAAUUUAUUUUUUAAGUAUAAAUUAUUUUACACGAAGAAAUAAAUAUAAGAUAUUGUAGGCAAUUCAAAAUAGUCUUUCCGAUGGCCAUCAUCAUUUUAGUAUUUUUCUUUCAUACUUUUGCUUGGGGACAAUUUAAUGGUCAAUUUCCAGCCAAUCCAUGGAAGAUUUUUCUCCAAUGGGAGAUGAUCAUUGAAUUUAUUUUCUUUAUUAAUGAUGUCAAAGAUUGAUUCUGCUCUAUGUUACAUUCCAAAAUCCAACCUGCUUUUGUGAGCCGUCCUAUGUCUCUUUGAAGGUUGGGGAUAGAGGGUGAUAUAAUUGGAUUCAGUUAAAUUGGUCUACCGCGAGUCGUUUUGAACUAUUGCACUGAGCUUUUUGUGUAGUAUAUUUACUCUACUUUUCGGUGCUUUAGGUUCUCCCCUGAUAAAAUUGGGUAUAUUGAUCAGAUGCUCAAGGUUCUUAAUGAAGUAAAAAUCUGAAUAUCAAUCCUUUAUAUUGUAUUAGUAACAUGUUUGAAGUUUGUCUUGGGACAUUUCGAUUUUAGCAGGAUCUUCAUCUUGGCUUAAAAGGUUAUACUAUCAGGGAUCACUGAAAAAGCAAAAAUAUUAUUUCUGUGGCAGAUACCACAUGUGGCUAUUUCAGUCAAGAUGCCAGAAUGGGCAUUGAUAUUUUUUCUUGAAUCAAUUUGAACAGGAUACUACUGUGUACUCUAUUUAGCUUAAGGCAUGGUCUUCAAUAUCUUCUCCAUGUUUCUUUGUUCUGUAAUCAUUCCCUCAAACAGUUUCACCUGCAGCUAUAGCUUUCUUUACCGUUGCAUUAAGAGAAUUCAAUGCGUUGUUGCUUCUGCAUUAUAAAUCUCAAAUGACUUUUGAGCCUGUAAAUGUAGGCAUUUUGAUGGAGAAUAAAAGUUGUGAAAAAAGAAACCCAAUCUGACAUAUGUGGUUCUAGUGUUGACCCUAAUUCUAAGUUUCCUUGAGUCUUCUAAUUUUUUUUUUCUUGGGUUUCUUGUCAUAUGCUCAUUAUGGCAUUGAAUAAGCAAGAUUUAAGUAAUAUUCAAGUGAAUUUUAACCGAAUGAUCUCAUCUUAUUUAGAUCGUUGUUAAAUCUAUUUGAAUGUAAUGCUAUGAUUUCCAGAGAAAAUAGGGUUUACAGUGGUUUAGUAAGCUUGGUUUGAGAGGAGGGUGUUCCUCUCCUUUCUUUUCUUUUAUCUACUAGUGACGUCCAACGACCUUGCUGCUAUUGGACCAUUUGUCUCUGUCAUACGAAUAUGUACGCGUCAGACGUUUGCUCCAUACUAAACGACCAUUUAAUUUUCCUCCUGGUACGCGUGUAAACAGAUCUACUAGGUGGAUAGGUCGGUUAUCACCUCUCCUGCUAAGCCCCAUGACCGAGCUGGGGGUGAAGAAACUGAGGCCCAAGGGAGGGCCUAUCUCAAGGCCGAAUGGUCUGGGCCGGCCCAUUUAAAAGGCUUCGUGAACUUUGGACUAGAGCUGUCAUCAUGGACUCGACCUCGUAUCGAGGUGGUGAAAUUCAGCGGUCAUCAAAAUAUAUAAGGUAAAUCUUAAAUAUCCUUGAAUUUUAUCUUGAUUCGAAUUUUACGAUUCUGGAUUUGAUUCUUUAGUUUUGCUAUUCAAAUCUAUAAGGUAGAUGAAUUAUAACUCAAUUUAAAACAGGUAAUCAAUAUGAACUAACAGAAUUUCCACCCUAUUCAAUUAAUUAGUUAUAAAGAAUUUGUUAAAUUUUAUAUUUUUAAAAUUUAAGAUCUUAUUUAUUUUUACUAUAAAAAAGUGUAUAUAAAAUUCCUAGAUUAUCUUUCUUUCAACUAACCAUUUUUUGUUCUCUUUCUCUUCUUUCUUUUCAAUUAAUUUACUUAUACUAAUUAUAGUUAUUAACUUAAGAUAAUUUAUAUUAAUAAUAAUAAUUUGUUAUCUUUUUUAAUUAUUUAAUUAUUUAAAUAAAUUUAAAUGAGAUUUUCAGUAUAUAUAACUAUUUUCUAUAAUUUGAAAGUUUAUAAUUUAUAACAUAAAACUUCAUAACAUAAUGUAUACGUAUUAUUUUAUUAUGAAGAAUAUUUCUAUAUAGAUGAAUCAUAAUUCUAUAUUUAUUAAAAUAUGGAUAUAAUUUUUAAAAUAUAUAUUAUUGUUUAUUAAUUUUUAAAUUUUAGUAAAUUUUAGAUUUGUCUCAAUUAUCGAUUCAUAAAAUAAAGAUUUUGAUUUUCGAUUUGACUCUAAAUUUGAUAAUUAUAUUUAAAAUUAGCUCGUAUUUGUGUAAAAUUUUUCUUAUGGAAACUAUUUUAUGAAAAUAAAUGUAAUUGUGAAUGAUCGCUUAACAAUAUUGUUUCUAAAAUUCUGUGAAUUUCAAAUUCUGAAUUUUAAAUCGUGAACCCUCAAUUUCACAAAUUUCAGCUUCACAAUUCUAUAAAUUAUAUUUACAUGUUCCAUGUUCUUCUCAAACCUAUAUAUAUUGAUUGUAAGUUACGACUUUAUAAUUUCAGUUUUAUUUUCAUAUUCCUAAUAGCAAUGUAAUUCACAUACAUAAUAUUAUUUUUUAAAAUAUUUCAUAAAUAUUCAACAAAUAUUAUAUUUACUUCAAACUAAUUUUAUUUCUGUAUUUUUCUUAGAAUUUGAGUUAUAUACAUUAUUAAUUAUAAAAACAGAUAUAUUAAUGCCUAAGAAACCAUUAUUUGUGUACUUAUCUAAAAAAUCUCAUAAACUUUUAUGACAUUUAUAAUCCCGCAUUUUUAAUCUAAUCAAUUAUUCAUUAGCUAAUUAUUUUCAUCAUUUUCUUUUUUUACCCUUACUAAGUCUAAUCUUAUAGUACAUUUCAAAAAGCAUCUCUUUUUCUUAGUAUGCUAAACUAUGCACUAUAAUCACCAUAAUAUCUAAUAUCAUGUUCUGCUUCAAGCUCUUUAAUUCUUAAAGUGUGAAAAAUUACUUUACUUUUUGAAAGGAUAAUUUUUUUUUUAAAUGGCUUAAUUUUUCUUUUGACAUAGAAAAAUAUUUUUCCUUAAUUAAAAUUUUCAAAUGCUCUAAGCUUUAGACAACAUAGAAAAUGUUUUUCUAGAAAAUAUUUUUUAUGAAAUAAAAAGACAUCUGAAGACGUGUGUUAAUUGGUAUAAGGGCAUUUUAGAUAUUAAAAUUUUUUAGGUAAUGUAAGGAGUAAAGUAGAGAUUUCAAUAUAUUUCAGAGUGUACAGUGGAGAAUUUAAUAUAUUUCAGGGACUAAACAACAUUUGACCCUGAAAUAAAAUUCCAAAAACAAUCAGCUGCACGUUAGCAUUGCGAGGCAAGAGGUUUGCAGCACAUGGCGUUGAAAUGAAAGGAAGGAACUGACAGCAAGAUACAUUAAUGGACGUGUUAUUGUAUGGAUCGAAACCCCAUUAUUCAGUAUUCACCACUUGUGGCACUCUAAUCAUUUGCAUAAAACUGUCAAAACUCUUCGCUUUCGUACACACCACACAGAUGAGAUAUGUUAUAGGCAAAGCUGCAAAAGACAGCUCUUCAAUGUUAUUAUUACCAUGUUUUGCAUGAUUUUAUUUUUUAAUCAAUAUAUAAAUCUUGUAUUAAUUAAACUAAUCUUUGUAUUUGAAUAUAAUUUUAAUUAUUUUAAAAUGGAAAUGUGAUUGUGCUGCUGAAAUUUUAACUGCUUUUAGUUUAAUUAAAAUUACAGAUUUGAUUAUUCGAAUUUAGGUUAUUCAAGAAAAUUUUAUUUUUAAACGUGAAAGUGUUUUAUAUUUUAAAAAAAUAAACAAACCAAUUAAAUAAUUUCAUUUUUAAUUUUGAAAAUUGAUUAGAAUAGCACCCAAAAUUAAAAGUUGAGCCAAUGAAUUCAAAAUUCAUAUGUUUUAAUUAAACACAAAUCGCACAAAGGUUGAAUUGCUUUAAACUUCGUUUUCCUGUUUUAGUUUGGAAAUGGAAAUGUAUUUAAUUUUCCCAAUCUGAAGUGUAAUGAUUCAAGCAGUUGUUGUCUCUAUAGAUAAAAGAAGCUUUAACAUAUUUAUGGAGAGCUUAAGAAUCUAAAUAAUUUAUCAUUUGAUGACUAAUACUUGUAGGGCCAGUAAGUGAAGACAUACACCAUCACCAUGUGCACAUAUAAUUCAAUACAAUAGGGGAUUAGUCGGUUGAGUCAAAUCUUAAGUAUAUAAAUUUGAAUUGUGAUUAUUAAGAUCAGAAUAUCAGGCCAAAAUCUCACAGACCACUUCCAAGUCCCAACAACAAGAAAAAGGCCAAAAGAUAAGCUCUCAACUACCAGGAAGCUUGUAUAGACCAGCUGGUUUUGUCGGUGUGGAACCAAGCACCCCCAUAAGUCCCACUGAACCAUGAGAGAGAGAGACAGAGAGUUGCCAAAUGCCAUUUUUUUAACGCAGGCCAAAUGCCAAUUGAACCCAAAAAAAAACAAGGGAGUUCAGUUCACUACACUUAACUGGUGGAAUAAACCACAUUCUCUAGUGUAGUUACCUAAAACAAGACCUAGAUACAAAUGUAGCUGAACAAAAAGGCACUCUUUUUUAAUUUUUUUUUUCUCGGUUAGAGAGCGAGAAAGAGGGAUAAAAGCAAGAAAAAUACAUUCAAGCACAAACGUCUUCUUACUCCAAAAGAAGUGAAUCACACAUAUUAUUUCUCUGGUGCUUUGUUGACUGCAAGGAAAGGGAGGAAAAAAAAAAGUAAGAGAAAGAUACCCCAAAGUCGGGAACCAAAUGUUUAGGUUUCAAGAAAAAAAAUCUCAACCUGACGCCAUUACUGAUGAAAUGAAUCCAUUGUAGUUCUUCAAUUGCUGGAUCUAUGAGGAGGAGGAGGAUACGGUGGAGAUUCAGAAUAGAAAGGGAAAUCAAAAUGUUGUGAUGUGAGAAUUAGUCUGUGAUUCCAUAUUUGUUUUAGAGCGAUAAAUUUCUUGUUUAUUUGUUGGGGGCAUUGACCAUUUUUAAUUGAUUGGAGAGAGGAAGUGAUGGAGUCUCGAAUGGAUCAGUAUGAGAUCAUGGAGCAGAUCGGUCGCGGUGCUUUUGGCGCUGCCAUUCUCGUUCAUCACAAAUCCGAGAAGAAGAAGUACCUCUCUCUUCCCGUCUCUAUUUAUUUAAAUAAAUAAAUGAGAUAUAUAAAAUUUUUGAAUGAAUUGUUUUGGUUGUGUCUGAUUUUUGUUUUCUUUUUCAACUGUUAGGUAUGUGUUGAAGAAGAUCCGACUUGCACGGCAAACUGAACGAUGCAGGAGAUCUGCUCAUCAAGAAGUAGGUUUCAGUCUCUCUGCUGGUGUCACCUCUGAUCUGCCGUGUGCUUUUUCUAAUGAUUUAGCCUUCGCCUUAAUGCUGAUUUAUUUAAUGGUAACGUUGCUGAUUUAUGUAAUUUAGAUGGCUCUUAUCGCGCGGAUUCAACACCCUUACAUUGUAGAAUUCAAAGAAGCAUGGGUUGAGAAGGUACUGUUGGGAAAUAUCAUAGGAAACCAAAGCUUUAUCAAAUAUGAGUUCUUUUGUCACGUUCUUAUGUGUGUUUGCAAUUUUGUAAUAACUGAAUGAACAUUUCCUAUCUGUAAUUUAGGGUUGCUACGUUUGCAUUGUCACUGGAUACUGUGAAGGAGGUGACAUGUGAGUACCAACAAUUAGUUGAAAUUUGGUUUAUAGGAUUUGAGUGAUUAACAAAUGAAUUCACAUUGUUAUUUUACAAUAUUGCUGACAGGGCUGAAUUAAUGAAAAAAUCAAAUGGGGUAUAUUUUCCUGAGGAGGUAACCUGAAUUCCUCUCUCCUUUUUCUUUUCUUCCUUCUCCAUGUCCAUAUGUUUGAAUUUAUUUUCAGUGUUGACUUCCUGUAUUGUUUAUGAUUCUUGAAAAUUUCUCAGAAACUCUGCAAGUGGUUUACACAACUACUGUUAGCUGUUGAAUAUCUGCAUGCGAAUUUUGUUCUGCAUCGUGACCUGAAAGUAUGUGAAUAAGUAUAUGGACAAGUCAUGUUAUUUUAGUUCUUACUUUUGGAAAUAUGUUAUGGACUGAAUGAGUUAAGUGCUCUCUUGGCAGUGUUCCAACAUCUUUCUUACCAAAGAACAGGAUGUUCGCCUUGGUGUGUUUCUCUUACUGACAUUUAGUUACAAUUUCCUUGGACUUGUGUAACUUAUUAAUUUUUGUUUAUUGGUCAUACUUAGGUGAUUUUGGACUUGCCAAAACUUUGAAAGCAGAUGACUUGGCCUCCUCGGUAUAUGUUCUUUUAUGGAUUGGUUUUUGUUUCAAAUGUUUCUUACUGCCAUUUGCCUAUUUAUGGAGGAAAUGGAAGUUCUUUUGCAUGAUUUCCUAUUUCGUAGUCAAGAGGUUUUUCGCCUCUUUUUUUCUUUUGUUUGGUAAUAAACGUGUAGAACUAUAUGAAGCAGUAUGUUGUCAAACUAUCUCCUUUUGCAUUUGAGACUUAUUGCAUGAAGAUGAAAUUCUUACAGUAUAAGAUGUAAAAUUAAUGUAGUGUAUUAAAUGUGUAACAAUUCAUCUUUUGGAAGUGGCAGCCAUACUCUAUUUUCUUAUAAAAAACAAGGGCCUAAUACACCCCCCAAAAGCUAGCUCAAGGUGAAGAGAUUCCCAAGAUUUUGUAAUAGGCACAUUACUCCUAUCCAAACUAAUGUAAAAAUUUUAACACACUCUCUAAUACCCAGAACAUGUGAAGUGUGAAAUACUUAUGGAGAGCUGAAUAUUGGAUGGGGAGAUGUUCGAUACCAUCUUAAGAAAAUAAGUGGGGCCUAACUCACUCCCAAAAACUAGCUCAAAGAGGGAAAAAGUUCCCAAGGCUUUAUAAGAGGCAUAUUACUCCUAAUUCAAAUCUAUGUGGGAAUUUAACAUAUUUUUCUUUCUAGUGCAGUUGAAGUUCACAUGGCCAAAGUUUAGUUCUUUCAAUUUUCACUAUAGUUGUUCAUGUCUAAUCGUUUCACUAAAAUGAGGGUGUGGACUGGCGAAUCCUUUUUGAAAACUUCUUUCAUUUUUGUAAUGAUAGAAAUCUGAUCAAGGGAAGAAAUUCUCAAGUCCUAUCAUAUGAAUGUUAUUAUUGGCGGUCAGAACAUAUGUGCUUCAUUGCACAACAACAAUGACAACAAAUAAUCUAAGAAAGAGCCUAAUAUUGCUAAAUGGAAGUAGCAUGUUAAAACUAAAUCACUUUUUAGUUAUAUGUUAUCCCAUUAAAGUUUAAACCCAAACCAGAGAAGAAAAGUUAUGUUUUAAAAUUUACUCUAAGGUUACAUAUCAAGUGCAGCUGCUCAUUCUUUAUGAAUUUAUUUACAAUUUGACAAGGGGAUCAACGUAUAUAGUAAUUCCAUAGUGUAAGAGGUCAUAGUUAUUUGCAUCACUAUCAGGAAAAUAAUAGUUGUUUUGUAUCCAUAUGAGCAGGUGGUUGGGACUCCCAAUUAUAUGUGUCCUGAGCUCCUUGCGGAUAUUCCUUAUGGUUUCAAAUCAGACAUUUGGUCUUUGGGUAUGUCCCUUCCAGAUAAUAUAUGUAAAUUUUGUGCCUUCCUUUUGUUUUUGGCUAAAAUGUUUCAUUGCUGAUCAGGAUGCUGUAUGUAUGAGAUGGCUGCUCAUCGCCCUGCCUUUAAAGCUUUUGUAAGAAUUCCAUGUUCUUUCUUUCCAGAUAUGAUUUUUUUUAUUUAUUUAUUUUCAUGAAAAUGGUGUUUAUGUGCUGCUUCUUGCCCAAACAGUGUGUUCACAUGCAGUUCAUGAUAUCUUUCUUGAUAUUAUGUAAAAGUAGAACAGGUUGUAUAAUCUAUUACUGGAGUCAGCCAUCAACUCUUGUUGGUAUUAAAGUAUACAUUGAUUCAGUAAAUGGAACAUGACUUUUUCUUUGUGAUUGUUAAUAAUCCUUACUUUAGUUGUAGUUAAUCAUUGUUUUCAUUGCAGUUUUUAUGGACUGAUAAUAGUUGCAAACUAGCUGUGUUUUUGUACAUUGUGACAAAUUAUGCAUGUUCUACAGUCACUGCAUAAAAUAUUACGCAAGAAAUUAGCAACUGCUUUAGAUUCCAAACACUGUUGCCUUUACAGUGCAUAUUCCAGAAUGUUAAAGUUCUUUAGAAGUAUGCAUGAUGAGGGUUUAAUCUCAAGCAUCUGUUAAAGGUUUCUGUAACUUUGUUUAUAUUUGGCUGCAUGAAAUUUGUAGCUUUCUCUUCUUACUAAAUGCCUCUGUAUGUCUUACAGGACAUGGCAGGACUGAUAAGUAAGAUAAAUCGUUCCUCAAUUGGCCCUUUGCCUUCUUGCUACUCUCCAGCCUUGUAAGUCAUGAUGCACUGUUAUAAAACUUACUGUUCUCAUGUAUUUUAUAAAAUACAGUAUCAGGGAUUAGAUCACCUGUCUUGAUACUCGCCUGCAUGGCCACUAGGCAAUUGCUACUUGUAGCAAUGCUCAUGCUCUGGCGAUGGCUGCAACGUUAUAAUUAAUAGGUCAUGACUUACUAUAUAGGUAUACUUACAGCUUCCUAUUUUCAAAGAAAAGCUUCUGUGGAUUUUGUUGAUGCAACUACAGAUCUUCAGAUUGAUUUUUAACCAUUUGGUGACCUACUCUUACGUGUUCCAUUUUUUUUUUCUUUAAUUAGUGCCAGGCAAAAAGAUAGAUUUCAGGCAUUCUUCAAAAUAAGACAUGAGACAUGUGAAUUGGCUUUAAUGAAUCAACCAUGUGGAUAGCUAAGACAUCCACUAGGCUCUUUGUUCUUUCUAGCUUUAUCCCUAAUAUUCGUGAUCCACCAUUGUAUCACUGCAUGAUAGCUUAUCUUUUUAUGUGCAGGAAAACAUUAAUCAAAGGCAUGCUGAGAAAGAACCCUGAGCAUCGACCUAGUGUAAGCAUCUCUCCUAAAUAUGGAUCUCAAUUUUCAGGAAUCUUUGCUUGUAGGACUUCAUCUUAAAAUUCUGGAGUUGCUUUGUCCAGGCAUCAGAGGUUUUAAAGCAUCCUUACUUGCAGCCUUAUGUUGAUCAGUAUCGUCCAUCCUUCACUCCCCCAACGACCUGUUCUCCUGAGAAGCCCUUUUCUACCUGUCAGGAUUCUCGGAAAAAUAUGGCUGAAAGCCAGAACAGUAAUAGUUCUAGUAGCGAUAAAGAUGGUUUGCUUUCCAGUGAUAGAAAUGUCCAAGUAAUGGUCUCAAAUUGUGAGCACAAAGCCAGUGAUACAGAUUUAGCUUCUAUUGAUGAUGAAGAUGAUGAUGACCAGAACAUGCGAAGCAAAGAAGGGAGCAGCCCCACCUUAUGCACCGUUAAAAUGGAUGAAAAUAGGGUGGUGAAACCUUAUCAUGAUGAACAUGGAUCCAAUGUUGAAUCAAAGCAACCAAAGACCAUUAAAAGUAUUAUGAUGGCCUUAAAAGAAGGAAAAGCUAGAGAAAAUGGUUCUCCAAUGAGAGGUAACCGUAUAAAGGUUGCAGGUUCUCAAAGAAGUAACACUGAAGUGCCUCCCAAAGUUCAGAAACCCAGUGCCCUUAUUUCUUGUUUGAAGUCUAAUGCAGACACACCUACAAUUUCUCCAUCAAAGGUUGCUUUUGAUUCUGCAAAGCGGGUUCAGGGAUCACAUCAUUCAAAGCAGCAGGUAUAAUUAGAUCUUAUUAUUUUCUAUUAUUUUUAGGGUCUAUUUGGCAUUGCUUUGAAACUGCUGUUGAGGAAAGCACUUUCUAAUUAUAUUUGUUAGAAGGGAUUAAAAUUGAUUUAAAAUUAAGUUUGAUCAGUUUAGUCAUAAAACAUUAAAAUAAAAAAACAAGUUUUCCAAAAUGAUUUUCCAAUAACAUCUAAAGCAAUGCUCUUUUCUAGAAAGCAGUUUUGGCCUCCAGGCCACCAUGCCAAACAGGCACUUGUAUGUAUGUGAAGAUAAUCACUUAUAUUGGAAGUAUACCUUUACAGUUACCCAUAAUUGACUCUACACCAAAAGCAAAACCUAGACAUGAUGGUAUUCCUUCAUCUGUUCCAUUAAAGCAUGUUGAUGAUGGGCUUCCUGCAAAGCAAAGGCAAAAAACUCCUCCUUCCAAUCUGGUUAGGCGAUGUGCAUUUCCUGGACGGACAAGACAGGUGGGAACUGAUGUUCCAAAUGGCGUCACUCACACCAUUAAGUUAAGUCCAACUGAGAUGACCCAAGCACCUGAAAAUCCUCAGUAUCAAGUUCAUGAUGGUCCUCUUUUACAUUAUCCAAAGGAGGUCAGAGAGGAGACUCGGACUGCUAUAUUUGGAGCUUCCAGAGGAGUGCAAACAGAUAGCAGUAAUUCUGUCUCGUCUUCAGUGUCAGUCCAAGCAUUUGAGCUUUGUGAUGAUGCAACAACUCCAUUGGUUGACAUGACAGAACAGACACUUCCUGAUGUUGAGCUCACAAAGAACAUAGAAUUACAUCCACCCAGCUGCUCAGUUGCUUCCCUUUCGGAUUCCAAGUCAUCAAAUUUGUCUGGAGAAAACUGUGAAUACGCUUAUAAAUCUGUAACGCAUUCAUCUGAAACCUCAAAGCCUGUGGUGGUCCUUUAUCCUCAGAAAAAUACUGUUGUUUGUGAUGGAAAAGUGAGUUCAAGUGCUACUCUGGAUCCAUCAGUCACAAGUUUUGAAGAAAUUUCGAUUUGUGAAGAUAAUAUCAUUACAAGUAGGCCUGAUACUGUGCCACAAUCAAAUCUUGCAUCUAGAUCAAGUGGUGGUGACAAGUUCACUGUAAGAGAACUUCUAUCAUCAGUUCAGGAGACUGCUUCUUCAAUUGCCUCAGUGACAUCUUCUAGCCCAAAGAAUUUGCAGCCAGAGAAAGGAGUCAUUUUGCAAAACCCAAUGACUGAGAAGCCAAGUGCUGCCCAACUUCCUGCUGCUUUUGAUGAUGUUAUACAUGUUAUUAGACACAGUAGUUUUCGUGUUGGGAGUGAACAGCCAGUUAUGGAAACCGUGGAGAUGGGAGUUCAAAAUGUGGAUGUUGGAAAGCUAUUGAAUGUAGUAAGAGAUGAAUUAGAGGCGAGAAAUAUGACUACACCUGUGACUCUUAAAUCAUCAAGUUGCUCUGAAACUAUGAAAUCAAAUAUGUCAGAUCAUUCUUUGAGAUCAAAUAUUUCAGAUCAUUCUGGCACUAAGGAAAUGGAUAAUAAAAAUGUGGUUCCUCCAGUUCCAAAAUCAGGUACUUCUGAGCCAACAAAACCUACCUCCCUGGUUAUGGAAGAGGAAGCACACGCAAAGGAAACUUUAGAUGUUAAGUCCUUUAGGCAGAGGGCAGAAGCACUUGAGGGGCUUCUAGAAUUGUCUGCUGAGUUGUUGGAGCAAAACAGAUUGGAAGAGCUUGCUGUGGUUUUGAAACCUUUCGGGAAAGACAAGGUUUCUCCGAGGGAGACAGCUAUCUGGUUAGCAAAGAGUCUUAAAGGAAUGGUAUUGAAGACAAUGGAUGGAGCUCAUGAAUCAUGAUAGCUGUGGUAAGCAAGCUCUUGUUAUACAUGUAUUGAUACGUCCAGUAAUUUUAGCCUUUUAAUGAUUUUUCCAAACUUAACUUCCAUUGAAUUUUUAAAGAGAACAAACAGGUCUUGUCUUCUCCUCUGACCUCUCCUCCUGCUUCCACUUUUCUUUUUUUUAUUUGUCUGUAAUUCUUUCUUGUGCACUUCGUUUUGUACAUAGUGAACAUACAAAUUAUGUCUCCUGGCAAAAUGUAUUGGUGUGCGGUCUUAAUCGAUGAUUACAAGGUUUGGGUGCAAUCAAUAUUUAGGCAUCAUUAGUUAUUCUUGGCUGAUAAAAUUAAUUUCUGACCUCAAUGAAACCAACAUCCUUUAUCAAUCAAAUUACCAAAAUCGUCCUUUCACCUUUUGUCGAACAACCAUAUAUAUAUAUAUAUAUAUAAAUUUACUAUUUAGUUUCUAUAUUAUAGAACUGGUCCUUUUGUUUUAAAUAAUCUAUUGAAUCAUUUCUAACAUUUAAAAAAAUCUAUUAAUUAAUUUCUCUGUUAAUUUUAACCGUUAAAUAUUAUAAAAAAUUCUAAAAUGUCACUCGAUAGAGGAAUUAAUUCGUUAAAUAUUAUAAAAAAAUUUUAAAAUGUUACUCAGGAUUAAUUGGUAGAUUUUUUAGAAAUUUAAUAAAUUUUUUAAAAAUUUAAAAAUUAAAUAGUAAAAUAUUUUAACAGUUGAAAUUAAUGAAUAGACUAAUUAAAGGCAUUUUAAUACAUGUUUUUAAAAUUAAGCGAUCAAUUACGGAGUUUGCACAUGGCUUGUGGAGGCAGAUUGGUGCAAAGAUAGCAGGUGGAAUGAGCUUUGGUGGAAGACUUGCUAAGCAGGCGAGACUUGUCAUGUUGACGCUGGAGAAUAGACUUGCUGGCAGGCUGACUUGUCAAGAAGCACGACCUGGUGACGGGACCUUGUGCAGGAGUGACCUGGACACUCGGCAGGUCUACGAAGUACUCGACAGUCCAAAAACAGGCAGGGGUACUUGGAGCUCGAAAGCCCGAAGUGCACAGACCUGCAUUGCCCCGGUCGGCAUUGGCAGGUGCUAAACAUAUGUGAAACAGGGCUAGUACGCGUGAAUUAGAAGUUUGGAUUCUGCAUGGCCCAGGCCGGCAAUGGCAGGUGCUAAACAUAUGUGAAAUAGGGCUAGUACGCGUGAGAGAAGUUUGGAUUUUAAGAAGCUAUAGGAGAAUCCAGCGCCCAAGAAAGAGGGCGACAACAGUUUUGGGAGAAGUACUUGGGAGUUACAAUCCGCGAGAAUUGUCAAAUAGCGUGUCUUCCUUUCUUUCAAAAAAAGAAGAAAUAAAUUUGUAAGUCCUUGACUAAGGCAGGUGGAGAUACAUCUAAAAGAGCUUAUCAAAGUACUAGGUAUCCAAACAAAGAAGCAAAGUUUCCAAAAGAGCUUAUCAAAGUAGCAGGUAUCCAAAUAGAGAAGCAAAGCCACCUUCAGAACAAGACAAAUGAUCAAAGAUUGUACAGUUGUCUUCCUUUGGUCAUUUAUUUAACCUUUAGCAUGCAAUGGCCAAUGCAGUAAACUUUCUUAACUUUAUUCAUAAAAAUAAGAUGAAUUCCAUAUUAAUCAAAACCAGACACACACAAGCAAUCAUAAACUUAACAAAAAUAGAGCAAAUCUCUAAUUCCUCCCCAUGAAGUAUAAUUUUGUAAAUUUAUAAUCAAACAAAAAAUAUAUACGCCGAUCACUCGAAGAGGGAAAGGGAGCAACCCACAUCCCCAUCCGAAAUGGGUAGAGAGACCAACUAAAUUCGGCAAGGAGAAAGAUGAAGCCUCAUAUGUUAACUCUCAAAAGGAGAGAAACUCUGUUCAUUAGCGUUGAAACAUUGUUGCGGAAACUCUUUAAUUCUAUUAACAAUUUCUUUAAGCUUUUUUUUUUUGUAUUAAGCUAUAUUUAUAUAGUCUCAUCAUAAAUCACAAUAAGUUUUAGGCACAUGAUUGUAUUUUACUAUUAUUAUUAUUAUUAUAAAUAUUAUUUUGUAUUUAUUAUAAUUAUUAUAGAUGACUUGAGGUACAGUCCGGCCUAAAUUUAGGAUUAGUGUAUGGUUUUGUAAGCUUGAGUUUUCUUGAUCCCUUUCCUUCUUAUUUCUCUCCCAUUUUGUCAUUUUGAAUGUGCUAUUUCUGGCCCAUGUUCUAACAUAAACGCCAGGCCAUGCAAAAUGAUCUUCGAAAAUACGAGGCUUCAAGCGGCCAUUUAAUCCCUCGACCAGCCUUUAAGGAACAUGCUCACUCCUUUUCCGGGUUUUGUUCUAAUGAAUAUUAUAAGUGGUGGGGCCUAACUGGUUUUAGGUCCCUUGGGCUUAUGAUUGUCUCCUGAGGUUUAGGUCUCAGCCAAGCCAAGCCCUCCUUUGAAGGUAUUUUAUGGGCUCUUAUUGCGUUGGCCUCGUUUGUUACGGUAUGGGCCAUCAUGAGCCUUGAAGAUCGGAGCCUGUUGCCUUGUGGUCUGAAACUGAUUUGUAGUGCCCUUUACUUCCUCACCAAUUAUUCUAUGAUUGGUAAGGGGUAAAUAUCGAGACUUCAUUUAAUUUUACUUAGCUCGAGAGAUGGAUUUUGAUAAGUGCCAUUUUUUUUAAUCUUCUUCUAUUUUCAAAAAUUGUUUUCCAUAUAUCACUCCUCUUCCUGCUACGCUUUUGCUACUCUGCUUUCUCUUCUUCUAUAAUCUUGCUAUCUCAACUUGACGUACAUUAUCGUUCUUUCCAUGGCUUCUAUUGACAUUCCUGCAGUGGACGAUUCAGUCUCUUCCAUUACCCCUUCCUCGUUGCUCCAACAUCUUUUCCAGAACCUCAUAGAUACAAAGAUUUUUAGAAUUAGGGCCUCUUCAGAUAACAAGAGAAUAGCUUUGUCCAACCCAUCUCUCAGGGGUUUAGUAGAUGCUCAGAUUGGGCGCAAUUUGGUAUUCUUCCUCAAAUAAUAUGAAAUUGGGUUGGCUUUCAAUUUACCCCUUUUUUUUUUCAUUGAGGUUAUUCAACAUUAUAGAGCGACUCCAAGAAUGUUGACGCCUAAUUCCAUUUUAUUCAUGAGUUGCUUCAAAUCAGUCUGCUUAUGUUGGGGUUUUACUCUUUUUAUCGACUUAUUCUCGAUCUUCUUUAGUUUGGUCAGGUCAAGCAAUGGGUUUUAUUAUUUCUACCCCUGGACAAGGUUAUCUAUCUUUACAAGUUAUAAAGAUUCAAUCAAGAGAUAGAUUGAGAAUUUUGCUAUUAUCAAGCUAAAAGAGAGCUAUAGGGUCGAAUGGAACGUCGACUUAUCCUAGGAGAGUACCUUAGGACUGUAAUAAAUUUCCUAGAUUAAACCUUGAGUUUGAUCUUAUUCCACACACAACUUCAAUCCUCCUUAUGUUGGAGAAAAUUUACAUCCUAUUAUUCUGUCUCCUUCAACAAAUCCAAUACAUAUUUUCGUUGAUUCAAGAAGAUUCCCGCCUUUGAUCUUGAAACCUCAAUUCAUGCAACCAAGGUCUCUCAUUUCAAAAUCUUUUGAUAGAUGUUCUUGCAAUCUUCUUCUUUCUUUCGGAUCAUCUCUUAUAACUAUCAUAUCAUCGACAUAAAUAAUAAAUGUUGUAAUUUUUCCAUCCUUCCUUUUAAAAGACAAAGUAUGGUCUUGAUUACUCUGUCAAUAACUAAAAGCUGCCAUUGAUUGUGUGAAUCACCCAAACUAGGCUUCUGGUGAUUGCUUCAACCCAUAUAGCACCUUUUUCAACUUAGAAACCUUCGUGCCGAUUGAGUUUUCAGUUAUACUUCCUUCUCAAUAUAGACUUCCUCAUAAAGUUCUCCGUGCAAGAAAGCAUUCUUCACGUCAAAUUGUUUUAAUGGCCAAUCUAGAUUUGCCGCUAAGGAUAGCAAAACCCGAACAAUAUCCAUCUUGGCUAUAGGAACAAAUGUCUCCGUAUAAUCAAUGCCAUAUGCUUGGGUAUAUCCCUUCGCAACUAAUCUCGCAUUGCAUCUUUCAAUUGAACUAUUUGCAUUUUAUUUCAUUGUAUACACCUAACAACAGCCAAUAGUUUUCUUUUCAGCAAGACAUUCAACCAUAUCCCAUGUUUCAUUCUUUAGUAAGGACUUCAUUUCUUCAACAUUGCUUCUCUCCAGUUAGGGGCAGCUAGAGCCUCCUGUACACUUUUAGGUAUAGAUACACCAGACAAUUGGUUCAUAAAUGCAAGAUUUGAUGCAGAAAAAUUAGAGGUAAAAUUAAUCAUAGGAUAAUUGGCUUUACUAGAAAAAUCAGGUUCAUAAGUAGCCUUUGGAAUACCUCUAGUAUUGCAAUUUGGUAACUCUUUUAUAGGCAUGGAAAUACAUUGGGAGGAUGAUUGGUUUGGUACUUCUUCAUGAUCCACUUCUUCUGUAUGAUUCAGUUCAAACACUUCCUCAUCAUGAUUUGGUUCCAUCAUUUGAUCGUGAUCGGGUUCACAAAUAGUAGGUUGUGUGGCUUCUUCAAUAAUAGUUAUGUUGCUACUCUCACUUUCAUCGUAUACGAAAGUCCAAAUUUCAUCAUGAUACUCCCCCUGAAUUCCAAGCUCUCCUUUAAAAAACAUGACAUUUUCGUGGAACAUGACUGUAACAUCCCAAAAAUAAAAAUAAAGUAAAAAUAAAAAUAAUAAAUAAAUAAUAAAUAAAUAAAAAGAAUAUGAAUAAAGAAAAGAAAAACAAAAGAAAAGAAAAAAAAGAUAAUAAAAUAAAUUAAUUAAAUUUUAAUUUAAAGCCAAGUGGCACAACCAAAGAAAAGUAAAAAAAAAAAAAAGAAAAGAAAAGAAAAAGGAGAAAAGACUAGAAGAGGAAGGGAAUUUAUUUUUCCCAUUCAUUUUCUUCUCCUUCCCGUAAACAUGCAUAAACCCCUCUUCCUCUAUCUUUUCUUUCUACCCCAAAAAUCUCUAAUCAACUAUCCAUCUUCUCCCAACACAUUUUCAAAGUAGAAUUUGAAGAAAAGAAAAGAGAAAAUUCAAGAUUGAGGGAGGGUGAAUAGUAACCAAGGGUUUGGAAAUUUAAAGGUAUAUUAGGGGUUUUAAUAUAGGGAUGUUUGUUAUUAUUUUUAUGUGAAUAUUUAUGAGAAAUAUUGUAUUAAUAUGAUUUAUUGGUUUAUUUUUCAUGAAGAAGAAAUGGAAGGGAAAAGUGGAAACUCUAAAGGAAAAGGGAAAGAAAAGGAAGAUUAGGAAGUUUUAAGCUUGUGAAAGAUUUUGGAAGGUUUGUGCUCAACUUUAUUUGAAUAAUUUAAGAAUUUAUUAAGUAUGCUCUAUUUGAAAAUUUUAUUAUCCUAGUAAAAAUAGACCAAGUGAAUAAUAGUUUAAUUAUUUUGUAUAAUCAAAGUUUGAGAAAUAAUAGAUUCAAUAGAUAGAAAAUUUUAAAAUUAAUAUGUAAUUUAACCAAAAACAAUUUAGGUUAUGGAUCUAAUGAAAUGACUCCAUUUUCUUUGAUAGAAAUAUAAUUUAGAUAUAGUGACAAAUAAAAAAAAUUAGUAGAAAAAAAAAGAGAUAUUAGAUUAGAUGAAAAAAAAAAUUAAAAGAGUAAGAAAAGUGAGAUAUAGUGUAAAUAUGAUGUUUAAAAAUAAUAAUAAUAAUAAUAUAAGAUAAAAAUAGAAAUUCAAAGAAAAAAAAAAAGAAAUAAGGUAUAUUGUGAUAAAUAGAAAAUAUAUAUAUAUAUAUAUAUAUUAUAUUAGGAAAAAAAAUAAAAAGAAUAAUAGUUAAUUAAUUUAUGAUUAAAGUAUGAAUUUAUAAUUUAUGUAGUGGAAUUAAAUUGAUAGAUUUAUAUGAUAUGACAAUACUGAAAAGCAGAGUUGUAAUAUGAUAAAAUGUUAUAGUUUGAACAAUUGACAGUUACACUAUAUUGAAAGUUUUUUUUUACCAUGUUUAAAUCUAUAAAUUAUUGAAAGUCUGGCCUAGUAAGUUUGGUGGGAAUUGUGAGUUAGUUUAAGGGUGUGGCAUGCCAUAUACAGAUCUUGCAGUACUGCACUACAGUUACACUGAUUUUUGGGAUACAAUGAGGUACCCUACAGUUAUAGACUCGGCUUUCGAGCCGUACAGUUAUUUGGCACUUUGUGCCCUACAGUUACAGUUUCUUUAUCUGACUUAAUAG